AAGAAAUGGUUUCAAAGAAAUACUGCAACUGUAAAAGUAAAUAUUAGCUCCAGCAACAAUUUGCAUACAAUUAUUGCAAGAAAUGAUUCUGCAGUACCUACGAGUAGUAAAAGUAAGUUUGACAGAAAAUUUGAGAAAAUAAAAAGGAAAGAAGAACGUGGUGGUGAUUAGUGAUGCUGAUUAAGCAUGUGGGCAUGACUUGUCCCUGCUGAUUUACCUCCAGCGAUGCAACGCUUAAAUUUAUGUUUGAGAAAGAGGCUGAAUCUACCCGAUCCAAUAGCCACCAAUAAACUCUAAGCUGAUACUAGAAAGCAACAUGGAGAAAGAAAGAUGCUGAUACGACCUUUUCUAUCCAGACUUCUGGGGCUCUAUUCAAUUUCAGACGACUGCAUUUUUUUUUCCUGGGGAAACUGUGCUGGACUAGAAAGGCUGCUCUACUUGUCAUGCCCCCAAAAAUCAGGAACUUAAUUAUGUGGUGAAGGAUUUUGUCUAAUACCUACUAAGUUGUGAAGCAUGGCUAUGGCUGCUACAGUUAAAGUGGUUCUUGGCUCCGUUGCCUUCGCUAUUUUUUGGGUUCUGGCGGUUUUCCCGGCUGUUCCCUUUCUUCCUAUUGGUAGGACUGCAGGGUCUCUUCUUGGGGCUAUGCUUAUGGUCAUCUUCCGAGUUAUAACUCCCGAUCAAGCCUAUGCUGCUAUUGAUCUUCCAAUUCUUGGUCUUCUAUUUGGUACAAUGGUAGUCAGCGUCUAUCUUGAAAGAGCAGACAUGUUUAAGUACUUGGGCAAGUUGCUUUCAUGGAAAAGUAUGGGAGCCAAGGACUUACUCUGUCGAAUCUGUUUGAUAUCUGCAAUUUCAAGUGCCCUUUUCACUAAUGACACAUCUUGUGUGGUUUUAACCGAAUUUGUACUGAAAAUUGCAAGACAACACAAUCUUCCACCUCAUCCAUUUCUGUUAGCCCUAGCCUCCAGUGCAAAUAUUGGCUCUUCAGCAACUCCAAUUGGGAAUCCUCAAAACUUAGUUAUAGCAGUCCAGAGUGGAAUUCAGUUUGGGGAUUUUGUAAUUGGAAUACUCCCUGCAAUGCUUGUGGGAGUUGUUUUAAAUGCUGUAAUCCUUCUUUGUAUGUAUUGGAGAUUGUUGUCGGUCGACAAGGACGCAGAAGACCCUGCAUUGGAGGUGGUUGCCGAAGAAGAUGUGAGUUCCCACCGUUUUUCGCCAGCAACUAUGUCACAUCCUACGUCCUUGAAUUCUCAGGAAUGGAACUCGACAUUGGAAUCAAUGAACAUUAGUAGCUCACCUAAUAUCAAUGGUCAUAGGAAUCAUAUUGAGACCCUUAGAAGCAGGGCAAAUGCAAGUGAGAGCGAAAUCCAAAAAGCCCCAAGUGAGGAGUCUAAUCCUGCAGGGAACUCAAGUCCUCCAAAAGAGCUUGAAAUUGAAACAUUUGCACAUACAAGGGAGGAAACUGUCCCUUCAAAAUGGGUGCCACCCCUGAAUGGAUUUCAAAAUGGGGACUACAGCACAACCAGUGAAGGGAAGGAGAAAUGGAAAAGAGUACUGUGGAAGACUUGUGUUUAUCUCGUUACAUUUGGAAUGCUAAUAUCUUUGUUACUGGGUCUGAACAUGUCAUGGACAGCAAUAACAGCAGCACUUGCUCUCGUGGUUCUUGAUUUUAAGGAUGCCAGGCCGUGCUUAGAAAAGGUAUCAUACUCGCUCUUGAUAUUCUUUUGUGGAAUGUUUAUCACAGUAGAUGGGUUUAACAAAACAGGAAUCCCCAGCGCACUGUGGGAUCUUAUAGAGCCGCAUGCUCAGAUUAAUCACACUGGUGGAAUAGCAGUUCUUGCUCUUGUGAUACUUAUGCUGUCAAAUUUGGCUUCAAAUGUGCCAACAGUUCUGCUGCUUGGGGGACGCGUGGCGGCUUCAGCUGCUGCAAUAUCUUCUGCUGAGGAGAAGAAAGCAUGGCUCCUUCUAGCUUGGGUAAGCACUGUAGCAGGAAAUCUGUCCCUCUUAGGAUCGGCUGCCAACCUGAUUGUCUGUGAGCAGGCUCGUCGUGCCCAUCAUUUCGGCUACAACCUCUCAUUUUGGAGUCACCUCAAGUUUGGAUUUCCAUCCACUAUUGUCAUCACAGCUAUUGGUUUGACACUGAUCAGGGGAUGAUACCCUAUAAUCACUGUGAUAACCUGACCUGUGUUGUAAAUUUGGAGUCGUUAAAUAAAAGAGGCGUGGAAGAGCCCCAUGUCUCGCACAGUUUGUCUGGGGAGUCAGCUUAAACGGUGACUUAUUUCAGCAAGUUUAUGCCAUUCCUACGCGAAUGCUUUUGUCCUCAAAAAGCUUGAAUAAAGAUUGGUUACCUCGAUCGAGAUAAUCACCAUCCACAAAAAGAAGAGCUUGAACUUCCUCCGAGAUGCUGCAAUGUGACACAAGACAGACGGUGGCAAGACAACGGAAAUACAAGAGUUUAGACUGAAGGUACCCCUUUUUCUUUUUCAAGAUCCUACUUCAAGUUACUGCUGCAUUCGUAAUUGCACAGAAAAAAAUCUUAAGCUUGCUGGAAUUAUGUGCGAGGUGAACUAGAAAGUUUACUAAAAAGCUUAUUAGUUGCAGCUCCAUGAAAAUUUGCCAACUUAGCCCGAUUACAGACUUUAAAAGGGGUGUAUUCUAUUGCCGUUUGCUACCAUCCAAAGAGCCAUCAGCCCUGUUGGCGUACUUGCUUAUGCAGGGAAUCGAGUCCAAAGAGGCAAACACGGUUAAGACACAUACAGAUAGCUAGCAGCUAUUCAGCAAGUAGUAUUAUGUUUUCAGCAGAUAAUAAAAUGUCAGCUUCCCUCGAUGAAAACAUGCCACGUUUUUCGUGAAAGUCUUGGUUGUGGUGGGAAGCUUCUCUCAACAUCAAGCAAUGAGGAGAUUAAAGUGGCAAUGGGAAUUGGGAAUUAGGCAUAAAGACAUGCCAACCAAAGCAUGUUUGGGGGCCUAUGCAGUGGUGGGGAAAAAAUGUUGGGAGGCUUCCAAAAGGUCUUUGUUUCUCUGUAGAUUCAUACAUUCCCCCUGGUACGCUUUGGCCACAUUUCCCAUCCGCCAAAGCUGUACCAUCAUCUUUUGGUUGAUGUUGACUGACGAUUAUACCCCGCUCUUAAUAUGAUAAUUAGUAGAUAAUAGUUGUCCUUUUUUUUUUUUCCUUCCCUCUAAAUCUUAGGAGUUACAACAAUCUUGUAGUAUUCAAGAAGAGUCUCUCAACUUCGUGCCU